rnacentral:rRNA from 1 species
AUUAAACGCUGGCGGCAGGCCUAACACAUGCAAGUCGAACGAGUGGCGGACGGGUGAGUAAUGUCUGGGAAACUGCCUGCUGGAGGGGGUUAACUACUGGAAACGGUAGCUAAUACCGCAUACCAUCGGAUGUGCCCAGAUGGGAUUAGCUAGUAGGUGGGGUAAAGGCUCACCUAGGCGACGAUACCUAGCUGGUCUGAGAGGAUGACCGGCAAUAGUGGAAAUGAGAAACGGGCCAGAAUACUAGGCGUGGCAGCAGUGGGGAAUAGUGCACAAUGGGGGCAAGCCUGAUGCAGCAACGCCGCGUGUAUGAAGAAGGCCUUCGGGUUGUAAAGUACUUUCAGCGGGGAGGAGUUACCCGCAGAAGAAGCAACGGCUAACUCCGUGCCAGCAGCCGCGGGAAUAC